GUUCCUUACGAGGUUUUCCGUUGGUGCGUGGUGCUUUGCUUUGCUUUGUGGAAUCUAUUUUUCCUACGAAGUGAAAAAAGUGAUAAGAAGGAAUUCCUCUUCCAAAUAUUCGUCCGGGAUUUGCUGCAAGAGUUUCGCCAGGGAUUUGCUCCAGGAAUCCCUUCGGAUUCUGAAGUCGAACUUUUCUAUCAUGGAUUGGUAUGAUGAAAUAGUUGACAGUGCAAUAGCAUUCUCUCCUUUCCUAAUGGACAAUGAAGACGAUGACGUGAUGAUCAAUUUACUGAUGGAAAAUUCAG